rnacentral:rRNA from 1 species
GCGGCAUGCCUUACACAUGCAAGNCGNACGCGAAAGCGGGGCAACCCGNGAGUAGAGUGGCGAACGGGUGAGUAAUGCAUCGGAACGUAUCCCGUCGUGGGGGAUAACCCGCCGAAAGGUGGGCUAAUACCGCAUACGACCUGAGGGAGAAAGCGGGGGACCUGCGAGGGCCUCGCGCGAGGGGAGCGGCCGAUGUCGGAUUAGCUAGUUGGUGGGGUAAAGGCCUACCAAGGCGACGAUCCGUAGCUGGUCUGAGAGGAUGGUCAGCCACACUGGGACUGAGACACGGCCCAGACUCCUACGGGAGGCAGCAGUGGGGAAUUUUGGACAAUGGGGGCAACCCUGAUCCA